rnacentral:rRNA from 1 species
CUACCAUGAGACCGAUAGCGAACAAAUAUCGUGAGGGAAAGUUGAAAAGAACUUAGAAGAGAGAGUUCAAGAUUACGUGAAACCAUUCAGAGGUAAACCUAAGAAACCCAAAAGAUCGAAUGGGGAGAUUCAUUGACAACGGUGCUGACUCCUGUUGAUGCGUCAUGCUCCGGACGAAUCCUCGUGAUUCAUCGGCAAGGGCACAUCACUUUCGGCUUGAAUGUUCCGGCAUAGUAGUCGUGUAUUUCUCUCCUAGUAGAAUGUCACGAUUUGUUGUGUGUCGAGGGUGCGUCCAAGAGAACGCCUGUCACGUCGCUUCGUGCGCACGUGGCAGACUGUUGAUUGCCUGGCCGGCUGCACGACGGUACUCGCAUGAUAUCGGGCAACAACCAAUUCAUUUUUUCGAAUGUAUGUGCGUCAGGCCCGCCGCAAGCUCGGCUAUUAGGAGCCGGUGUACUUGAUCCUGACUAAGACUCGAAUUAUCAGUCGGCGAUGCUAUUGCUUGAGUACUCUCAGGAGCUGUCUUGACACAUGGAUCAAGAAGUUUAAUAUGUACGCGAGUCAUUAGAAUAAAAAAACUUAAAGGCGAAAUGAAAGUGAAGAUCGGACUUUGUGCCGAUCGAGGGAAGAAGAGCCGCGGCCACGCACUCCCAGGGCGCCUCGUUUUCACUGCGAGAAAAGACGCAUUGAGAGCGUACACGUUGGGAUCCUAAAGAUGGUGAACUAUGCCUAUCAGGAAAAAGCCUGAUGAAAGUCCGUAGUGAUUCUGAUGUGCAAAUCAAUCGUCGGAACUAGGGGCGAAAAACUAAUCCAACUAUCUAAUACCUGGUUCCUUCCGAAGUUUCCUUCAGAAUAACUGGCACUCGACCGUUUCUCAUCGAACAUCAUUCUCACGAAUCUCAUCUGGUAAAGCGAAUGAUUAGAAGCCUUGAGGCCGAAACAACAUCAAGCUAUUCUCAAACUUUAAAUGGAUGAGAUAUCUUGGUUUGCUUGGAUCAUAAAGCCACGAGAUUUUGGAUCAGCGUGCCAAGUAGACCAAUUUUGGUAAGCAGAACUGGCGUUGUGAGAUGAACAAAACGCAGAGUUAAGGCGCUUAAGUCGACGCUUAUGGGAUAUCACGAAAGGCGUUGGUUGCUUAAGACAGCAGAUGGUGGCCAUGGAAGUCGGAAUCCGCUAAGGAGUGUGUAACAACUCACCUGCCGAAGCAACUAACGCUGAAAAUGAAUGGCGCUGAAGCGUCGCGCCUAUACUCCGCCGUCAACGGCAAAUAGGAAGGCACGUGAAUCCUGCUCUCAGGCGGGACCUCCUCCAUAAAGCCCUGACAAAUAGAAGAAUCGCGGCGGUGUGUGCAGAAUGGUCUGGGCAUAAGUCUGCCUGGAGCCGCCGUCGGUACAGAUUUUGAUGCUAGCAGCAAGUACUCCAGCGAGGCACGAGGACUAACGUGGAGAAGGGUUUCGUGUGAACAGCCGUUGCAAUCGAGUCAGUCGAUUAGCCCUAAGAAAAAUGCUAUGUAUAAAUGAUGUGUCCUGAGAUCAUACACACAAACAUAUAAAAAUUGAAAUAUGAGACCAGAAACACACCCAUUGGGUGAAAGGGAAUCCGGUUCCUAUUCCGGAACCCGGCAGCGGAACCGCAUACCAUUCGGGCCCUCGUAAGAGUGUUCGUCGGGGUAACCCAAAAUGACCUGGAGACGCCGUCGGGAGAUCCGGGAAGAGUUUUCUUUUCUGUAUAAGCGUUCGAGUUCCCUGGAAACCUCUAGCAGGGAGAUAGGGUUUGGAACGCGAAGAGCACCGCAGUUGCGGCGGUGUCCGGAUCUUCCCCUCGGACCUUGAAAAUCCAGGAGAGGGCCACGUGGAGGUGUCGCGCCGGUUCGUACCCAUAUCCGCAGCAGGUCUCCAAGGUAAAGAGCCUCUAGUCGAUAGAUUAAUGUAGGUAAGGGAAGUCGGCAAAUUGGAUCCGUAACUUCGGAAUAAGGAUUGGCUCUGAGGAGCGGGGCGUGUCGGGCUUGGUCGGGAAGCGGGUUUGGCUGACGUGCCGGGCCUGGGCGAGCUGAACGGGGCGUGGUCUUGUACCUCGCACCCCGGAUCCGAGCUCGGUCCCGUGCCUUGGCCUCCCGCGGAUCUUCCUUGCUGCGAGGCUUCCGUGGCGGCUCUGCCGUCGUGGUCGCUCUCUUCGGCCGCCAUUCAACGCUCAGCUCAGAACUGGCACGGACUAGGGGAAUCCGACUGUCUAAUUAAAACAAAGCAUUGCGAUGGCCCCCGAGGGUGUUGACGCAAUGUGAUUUCUGCCCAGUGCUCUGAAUGUCAACGUGAAGAAAUUCAAAAAAGCGCGGGUAAACGGCGGGAGUAACUAUGACUCUCUUAAGAAGUACUCUCAAGUUGUAGUUCGUACCUCCACGUGGUCCCGCUGGAAUGCCUAUCGACUCCUCCCCGGAGGAUCAUAGAGUUCGAAACCGGCUACGGCGAGGCAAGGGCGGUGAGGUGCACACCGAUGGGGAGCAGCGACCCCACCUACCCAUAGCUAAGAGAGCAGGCGAUCCGCCAACUGUCAGCACGAAAUAAACUAAUCAUGUGUAUACGAGGGAGAAUUUACAACGGGUACCUUAUGCCCGAACCGCCUGUAGGUAUCACCUACAGGUGUUAAAAUGAAUCUGAUAGCUGGCGGAUCGUCGACCCUCUUUGAUGGCUCUGCGCCAACGACUGGAAAGAAAUAGGAACGGAAGUCUAAUGGAAGGAAAGUGUCGGGAGCACUAUAAAUUCCCAA